UUGUCGAGACCUGCAAAAGCAGACCGCGAACACGUUCAAAAAGCAUCGGGGCCUAGGCUGGGGGCAACCUCACGCCGACGUCCCUCCUCGCAUGCGCGCGCUCCCGAGCACGCGUCGUGCGGGCUAACGAACCCCGGCGCGGAAUGCGCCAAGGAAAACUCAUAGGAGCGUCUGCCUCCCGUCGCCCCGUCCGCGGUCAGCGAGGGGGGGAGAGGACGUCUCUCGAAUGUCAAAACGACUCUCGGCAACGGAUAUCUCGGCUCUCGCAUCGAUGAAGAACGUAGCGAAAUGCGAUACUUGGUGUGAAUUGCAGAAUCCCGUGAACCAUCGAGUCUUUGAACGCAAGUUGCGCCCGAAGCCCCCGGCUGAGGGCACGUCUGCCUGGGCGUCACGCAUCGCGUCGCCCCCUCCACCCCGUCCCCAUGGGGCGAUCGGAUGAAUGGGGCGGAUAAUGGCCCCCCGUGCGCAUCGUCGUGCGGCCGGCCUAAAUGCGAACCCGCGGCGACUCACGUCACGACCAGUGGUGGUUGAUCUCUCAACUCUCGUGCUGUCGUGCCGGAUGACGUCGUACGUAGGGCACCUUCGAGGACCCAAUGGCGCGAUCUAAUCGCGCUUUCGACCGCGACCCCA
rnacentral:rRNA from 1 species